CCCUUAGACGUUCUGGGCCGCACGCGCGCUACACUGACGAAGGCAACGAGCUACUCUUCACCGAAAGGUGUGGGUAAUCUUUUGAAACUUCGUCGUGCUGGGGAUAGAUCCUUGCAAUUUUUGAUCUUAAACGAGGAAUUCCUAGUAAGCGCAAGUCAUCAACUUGCGUUGAUUACGUCCCUGCCCCUUGUACACACCGCCCGUCGCUACUACCGAUUGAAUGGUUUAGUGAGGCCUUCGGAUCCGCGAUUUUAUUGUGGAGAAGUUGGACAAACUCAGUCAUUUAGAGGAAGUAAAAGUCGUAACA
rnacentral:rRNA from 1 species